UAUUAUAAGAACCAGUAAAAGAGAUCAUUACCAUGCACUAUUAGAACAGAAUAAAGGUAACACACAAGAAAUAUGGAAAAAACUUAACCAAGUAAUCAGAAAUAGUCCUAAAAAAUGGAUUAUCCAGAGUAUUUUAUCAAAGGCAAAAACACUAUUUUGGAAAAAACUGCAGAAAUAGCAACUGAAUUUAAUGAGUAUUUUGUCAACAUCGGCAGUAACCUAGCAAAACAAAUUCCUGAUCCAACAAACUUGUUUGAAAUAGAUAGAUACGUAGAAAAAAACUCCUCCACGAUGUUCCUUACUGCUGUAAAACAAGAAGAAGUAUCAAAUAUUAUAAAAACCUUUAAAAACAAAAAGUCAACUGAUUGCUUUAAUAUAGAUAUGACAAUAAUCAAGCAGAUUAUAGAAUAUGUAGUGCGACCUUUCACGCACAUAUGCAACCUGUCAUUCAAAGCUGGUAUCUUUCCAUCAAAAAUGAAAAUUGCUAAAGUUAUUCCAAUCUAUAAAAGUGGAGAAAGACAUCUGUUUACAAAUUACAGACCAAUAUCACUACUACCACAAUUUUCAAAAAUAUUAGAAAAACUAUUUUCUCGCAGACUUGAUAGCUUUAUACAAAAGCAUGCGCUGUUAAGUGAGAAUCAAUAUGGCUUCAGGGAAAAACGGACCACCUCAAUGGCAGUUAUGGAGUUUGUGGAAGCAAUAGCCACUAAUAUAGACAACAAAGAAUUUACUGUUGGGGUUUUCCUAGAUCUAAAAAAAGCUUUUACACAAUAGAUCACAGUAUAUUAUUGAAAAAACUAGAAAGAUAUGGCAUUAGAGGUGUAGCUUAUAAAUGGAUAAAAAGUUAUUUAGAAAACAGAUAUCAGUACGUGCAACUCAACAAUAAAAAAACGAAUCAACUGAAAAUCACUCACGGAGUUCCUCAGGGGUCAGUGCUUGGUCCAAAACUAUUCAUCUUAUAUAUAAAUGAUAUCUGCAAGGUCUCAAAACAAUUUAAAUGUGUCCUAUUUGCUGAUGAUACAACUUUCUACUGUUCUGGAAUAAAUCUGAAACAGCUCCUGACAACCGUAGAAAAUGAAUUAAACAAAUUAAAAAACUGGUUCGACAGAAAUAAAUUGUCACUUAACCUGAAAAAAUCGAAGUUAAUUGUUUUUGGCACAAGACCAAUCAAACACCAAACUAAAAUUAUGGUAAACUCAAUUGAAAUAGAAAGAGCGUAUGAAACCAAGUUUCUCGGAUUAGUAAUAGACUCAAAACUAUGUUGGAAACCACAUAUCGAUAACGUAAAAAGAAAAAUAGCCAAGACCGUAGGGAUCCUCUACAAAACCAAGGAAGUGCUAAAUAAGAGAUCUUUGUACACAUUAUACACUUCAUUAUUAUUACCAUAUAUGACCUACUGUGUGGAAAUAUGGGGAAAUGCCUGCAAAACAAAC